CAAACUUUCCAUCAAGGAGAGAUGCAGCAGGUGACAGCACAAUGGUGGAAGCACUAGUGCCAACAGAUUCUGAUCAUCACAAGUUUCAUUCCCUGUUCUUUGGAGCAGUGUCACUUAACAAUCCAGAUGUCAACAGCCACACGUUCCAUAGUUUGGCAACAGCUAGUGACACUGAAGAGGAUUUUGACAACAGGCAGCUCUCUCCAGUCAUCCAGUGAGGAAGUUCCUACAGAGCCUUUACUUAGAUGCUUAUGUGGUCUUUAGAAAUGGUUUUAGAACAAGUUGUUGCAGAGUUGUAUUUUUUUAGAAAGAAUGUGCACCUCCCUGAUGGAAAUUUCACCACUAUAUUUAAAUGACAAAUUAAAACCGUGAAUAGAAACAGUUGUUGCUGAAUUCACUAGGUUUAGGCCAAAAUUCACUUUCCAGAAGGCUAAAACUUCCAGCUCUCACAACAACAGUCCCAGCUAGUUCAGUUGUGCAUAUGCCCCCACUUGCAAAAAGCACAAAGAAACUGCACUGGCCAGGACCCUAUUUAAUGGCUUUUCAGAAUUGUUGAAUUUCCUACUGUAUUUACAGGUUAAACGCAUGCAAGUCAAUAUCUAAUUCAACUGUUAAUGUUAAUGAAAGUUUAGAGGUACGACAAACUUCCAUAGGUUUAACACGAGUGUUUUUUACCAUUUGUAAAUAAUGUUGUGUCAGACAUUGUAUAAGAUGUAGUUGAAGAGCAUUUUUCAUGGGCUCAGCACUGGCAAAGCUUGACGGUUAAGAAUCUUAGACUGUAGCUACAGAAUACCCACCUGCUCUAGAACAGACAGGGGUUAGUAUGCAAGAGCUUCCAGCUACUGUCCACCACUUCUGACUAUUCAUAUGAAACUCUCUUGGCAAGGCCAGACAUUAGACAAAGCAGCCUUUUAACUUUGCAAGACUGGCAUUUAAUUGGAUCACGACCUGUAAACUACAGUUUUAACACAUACUGUAUGAGAGCAAGUGUGAUGCAGUCAGGUAGGAGAUGGUUCUUCUGUUUUGAAAUGGUGGCCUCCCCAUUCUCUCAACACAAACCAGGAGUCUGGCUGUUCUAGCGUGGUAACAGCUAGUUACUUUCAGCAGCCUCACUCAAAACAGCCACCUCACCAGACCUAUCAUCCUUUUAGUAAGAAAAAAUUCUCUGCAGGAGAAUGAGCACACAACUCUCUUUUCAAGACAGCAGGAUAAUAGAUUAGUUGGAUUUGUACAUUGAUACUAGGCAGGCAUAUGGGCAGUACCUGAGCAGCAGACAUCUUCAAUUAGUGCCAGAGAAGUUCCAUGAAAACUGUUGUUGCAUAGCACUUUGAUGGACAUUUUUGUGAAGUAUCAGUGCUUCAGUCUGUCAGGCAGAUUUGCAUCUUGUUACAAGAGUUAGGUCAAGUGUCCCUUGGAAGUUACGGACAAGGUCCUUUACAUCUAGGUUUGAGGUUGGAGUGCAGCAGCUUGUUGUACUGUAGGACUUAGGAAAAUUAUUUUGGGAUGUACAGACCCCAAGACAUGGAACACAGUUGUUUUAACAGUUGGAUUUUGGCCUGCCAAAUGGUUUGUUAGUGAGCAGUCCACACCUAUGUCAAGAAAAGGGAAGAGAGACUAGAAUUUCUCACUGAAGUACAAUUCCACAGUUGUGGUGUCAAUCACCCCAGCAAGACAUUCUUUGACUUUCCUAUUAAACAUUGCUUUGCAUUGCACACUAUAUUCUCAGGUGUCCAUCACUUCUCUUGGCUCUUGGACUGCUGAAGACUCAUUUCCUUAUAUUUUUCCUUAUACUAAAUACAUUCAGGGUAACAGAGCUAGGGAAAGCCAAACAACAUAAGCACAGACCUUGGGGCUCAGUCAUAGAACCAAAAAAAAUUCAGGUUGGAAGGGACCUCAGAAGGUCACAUCUAGUCGAGCCCCCUACUCAGAGCAGAACCAGUUCCAACUACAUCACCCCAGCCAAGGCUUUGCCCAGCUGGGUCUUAGACAAAAGUCCAGUGACCAGUUUAAGUGGAUUUUUUUCUUGCAACUGUUACUUUAAAAAGCACACGUUUUAGUAUAAAUACUAUAUUUAUUAAAUAUUUUUUUACAGUUCAUUUAAAUGUAUUUACAGAACUAUUCCUGCAUAAGUUAUUCUUCAGACAUCCAAUUCACAUAAUUGCCUCUUAAGUAAGCAAAGGUAAUGAUAGUCUCAUUUAGCAAAAGCAUCCUCAUUAGAUACAGACUCAGAUUUGCUUCAUUAUUUCAGCUAUCUUUGUCAGAAACUACUCCACACAGUCAAUUUCUACAUGUACAAUCUGGUUUUCCAUUAAGGAAAAAAAAACCAUUACCCAUUAGCAAAAUACUUGUUGUUUCUUUGCUACAUUUUUACACCCCUGCCCCCUCCAGAUGGUUUUUUAUCAUUCAAUAUGGUCCCCAAUAGCCAUCACUUCUUUAAAAACGCAAAGAGCAAAUCUCAAGGGAACCUGGAUGUUGCAGUUCUCCCUAAGACAGCUAUGAAAGAGUGGCAAGAAACCAGACUUUUCAAGCCCCCCAUAGGUAUAUAACUGUGUACUGUUAUAUCCUAGCCCUUCUCACCUACACACAUAGUUAUAGCAAAGUCCUGCAGCCGCUCUUACAUGACUUGGUAAGAUGGAUUACUACUAUACAAAAAUGUUUCAUUCUGUUUAGAUAAUUCUUCCCCACCAAGCAAUUCUUGAUAAAAGCAAAGUCCCCUCCUGCAGCUGGCAGUCAGCUCAUUCACCAUCCAACAUUUCCAAAUCAGAACAAACACACCUAGGAGCAUCCCUUCUGCAUGUCCCUUGAGACUAAUCACCACAAUCUAACUCCUAGGAAGUGUUGCAACUUCAGGCAUCAUUGUAAUGUCACUUUGAGUACAUGGGCCCUGUCGUUUUUAUUUUCCAAAUAUUGGUUGUGCGCAGACAGCUUAAGUUCAUAGGAAGAAAUCAGGUUCUGAUAUGUUCCGAGUGCACAUCUUCAAACAGAAAAAAACCCAAAAUUCUCAAGCAUGUGAUAAAAAUAUUAAAUUCUUUAUAAUACAGUAUUGCUUUAUAAACAGAUGGAAAAAUCUAUAAGCUUUACUGGUCUUUGGUGUGUCCAGUGAGGGAUAAAUCUAUGAUUUGUAAAUUAAAAAUCGAAAUUUGUUCUUUGUUAAAGAUCAUGAUGCAAUACUGGGCAGAUGGCUUUCUAUUUACUGCUCAGCUAAGAAGUGAAUGAAUGCAAAGAACAGGUUUUCGGAUCAGACCCGCCAGGUGGCGCAGUUUAACUACAGACAGGAAGGCUGAAUUUCUACGACCUAGGAUUCCAGACCCCCGAUCAGUAGAGGCAGAGCACAGUGCAUGCAGUGUCUGAGCUCAGGGGAAAGCACCUUUGCCAUACUCACUUAUCUGAUCCACAUACACCCCUUCUAAUUGGUAGUGACAGGGAGGGCUGGGCAGGGCUGUAAACUUGAGGGGAGGAGUGGGAAACAGUUCAACUCUAUAGGGACAUGGAGGUUCAAGAAUAGGGAAAGAGUAGUUGAUCAAGUCUGCUCUAAUAAGGAAUUGUGACAGUAAAUACUGGAGAACUAAAAGCAGAAGAUACCCAGGAUUGAGAGAGAAGCCUCUCCUGCAGGUGUGAGAAGUGAAGCCCUAUACUGCAGCAUGAAUACAUUCCUUCCAACAAGAAACAGCUGAGUACAGCUUGUUCAGUUUUUAAAAAUAAAAAGGGACUGGACAGAUUGUGCAAAGGUGUCUGCCACGUGCUGUUUCAUUUAUCACAAAAUAAGGAUUUUUCUUUGUUAACAUCAUCCUCCCCACACUCCACCAAAAUAGCAUUUUGGUCAAGUUAGGGUAGUUAAGGCAUUUUUACAGAAGUUAAAAGGUGGUUUUGAAGUAGAUACCUAACAUUAUGCCAAUUUAGGAAUAGUAGGUAAGUUACUGAAGCGCUCCAGAAUUAAUCAUUCAUCCUCAUUAUAAAUGAAAUGCCUGUUACAAGCAUGAUGCACUGAAAUAUAGUAAAAUGACAUGUACAUGGUACAUGUUAAAUGAUUUUAAAUAAAAUAAGAGUUUGACAUAGUUAUGCAAAUAUACAGUACAACUCCACAAAAAAAAUCUUUAAACAAGUUGAGGUAACCUUGAACUUAACAGUUUUAAUACAAUAAACCAGGUAGUAAAAUCUCCUUUUGAGAUAAGGUAAGAUUACUUACUGACCAAGUUUAACUGCACUCAUCUAAACAUCAAAUGUUACCCGACUUUUUUUUUAUUUUAUAUAUAUAUA